GGGAGAGAGCCUGAGCACAGCAAGCGAGAGACGAGGGGGCGCGGGCGGCCGGGGUCACGCGCGCCGGCAGAGCCUGGAAGCGGCCUCGGUCUAAGGCUUCCUUUGGUGACUCAGAUGGUAAAGAAUCCUGCCAAGCAGGAGACUCAAGUUCAAUCCCUGGGUUGGGAAGAUCCCCUGGCGAAGAGAAAUGGCAACUGACUCUAGUAUUCUUGCCUGGAGAAUCCCAAGGACAGAGGAGCCUGGCAGGCUACAGUCCACGGGGUCACAAAUGGUCAGACAUGCCUGAGCGACUGUUUCUUCCAGGCACUCUCUCCACUAUCUCAGGAGCCUGGACUCUGUCCCUCUCCCCCAGAAUCACUGCUACACCUACAUCUCCCUUGUGGCUGAUGGACAAGCCGAUUGACUGGGGGGCCGGGGAAGGCCCGAGGACAACCUUGGGGAGCAGAAGACACCCCAUUCCCUAACCACUUCCCCUUCCGGC
ensembl:lncRNA